ensembl:lncRNA
GGAGAGUGCCGUGCCAGCAUGAGCAUGAGGGAAUGCUUCUGUGUGUAGCACAGAGGCAGCUGCACCUACACUGACCUGUGCUCCUCAGGCAUCUGUAGCAGAAAUGCUAAGUCACAGCCUGAACCAGUGAUUGAGCACCUGGUGGGAAGGCAGGGCUAACCCAGGGGAGCUCAGGUGCAAGGAAUGCAGCUGAGUUACCACAGGGGGUGGAGCCAGGAUCCACCUCUUCCCAGACCUUCUGUGAUUCUAUCUAUGACCUCAUUUAAGGGUUGGUGGUGGAGGUAAGGGUAUCCUGCUGGAGGUUCCUGCCUACCUGAGGCCUUCCAAGGGAACUCCGGGCUGAUGUGGAGAAGGGCAGGGGAAAAUUGCCUCCCGGAUGAGGUAUACGGCAAGAGCAGGUGUUUGGCAGCGAAGAAGGAGGUUGGAGGAAAUCAGAAGUGUUUCAGCCCCAUGAAGCUUUCUGGUACCUGGAAGCCUCCUCACUUCCACCUAGCGUCUUUCACCACUGCCCAUAGCCACCUGAAGUUCACGUAUGUUACAAUAUCAGCUCUCUGAAAGCUUGUGCUCAACCACGCUGCUGUCCAAGCGGGUGUAGCUGGAGGCAACAUCUAUAAGGGAUCAUCUGGAAGAGAUGCUGCAGCGUAGGCUCCUCCAGAGCCUUCAGGACGCAUCCGUAGCGAAGCCAUUUUGGUGCUGUUUGUGCUUCACGGUUGUGUCCUGGGUAAAAACGUGGGUAAAAGCCAUUGGGUCCAUUAUGUCUGAUUCUCCCAGAGGCCAUCUACUGGAGCGCACAGGCUCUAAGGAAUGUGGAAGAGAUAACUGGAGGGUAAUAGAGAGGGUUAUUUCUAUGGAAAAAUCCUAGCUCUUUCCUUUUAUUGAAGUCAGUUCAUGAUCAUCUAUAUAAAAGAAAGCUGCGUUCUGAGAGCGCACAUGCAUUUGCAUAUGGCUGGUGUUCUCUUGCAAACUAUUUGAAUAAAAAUAAAAGGAAAAUGAAAAUAGGAGUUUUCACUCAAGGGAAAAGUUAAUGAACUCACUUCUCUUUCUUUCACUCCCUGAUUAAAUAUUAUGUUACCAUUUUGUCUUUGUGCAUGAAGAGUAAAACCCCGCUCUGUAUUUUGCCAGCUUCAUUCAUGAAGCUUUGUAUUAUUUUUACUGCAUUAAAAAAUUAAAAAUGACUCUCACCACGUGAGAAGCAGAAUGGAGAAGAGCAGUAAUUCCCAGCAGCGUGGAAGAAGGAGAAAGUGAAAGAUGAGACAUCUUCUUUUGUUUCUUUGAAUAGGCGUGAGCUGUGCUCCAGCACGCGCUGACGGGAAUAGUCCGAGAAGACUGGCUACAGAAGGCAUUACCUGCCACGUAAGGUAUCUGUGUGACCUUCCUUUCUGAAGAGUGGCUUUUUUUCUUCAACAUUCAUUAUUUCCGAGAGCCCGUGGGCUCGGCAGCAAAUUGCAGUGAUGUUUCAGGAUUGACUGCUUGAAUGUUCUGUUUUUCAGUUUUAGCUGCUAGGGAGGAUUUCAGCAGGUUUUCAGCUAGGUUAGCUGGGGAUCACCGCGCUUCUCUUCUGCAGUGGUCAGGCAGCCCAGCUGAGCUGAUGUUACGUGGUGCCCAACCUUCUUUCAGGUGUCAGCAGAAGCACUGGCAACAUCCAAAGAAAUAAGCGCAGACUCGUAUGCCAGAGGAUGGCUCCAGAAAUGGCUUGGUGUUUUAUUAACACAUCAGAAGGCUAUUGCCGUGGAUUUGUUGGUUCUCUGGUUAUACAAAAACUGCUAGAAGAGCCUCUCUGAGGCACCAUCAGAAAACCAGCUCCGUGUGAAAGCAUCUUCGUGGAGAAAGUCUGUCAGCUGCUCAGUAUGGCUUGUUUUCAAAUCUUCUUGAGAACGAACGUUGUUGCUUUUAAUCUACAAGUGGAUGCGGGGUUUAAUAGAGGCUUAAUGCCUGAAUGGCUUGCAGUCUUGUUCAGUCAGCUGUUGAGACGUAAGUAGGAGUAACAGGGAAUUGCAGAGGAGGUGUCCACGUGCAAACCUUGUAAAUCACUGUUUUGGGGGUGUGUGUGUGUGUGUAAAUUCUUAGAAAGGGGGAAUGAAAAGCAAACAAACAUGAAAACGAGAGUGGAAAAAGUAGUUUUAACACUUCGAUGUCAGCUCCUCCAUCCAGGGAUUUCAUCUGUGCUGCUGCUACUGGCCCAUUUUGGUGCAUAGUAAGAACAAUUCUUCUAGCUGCCAAUCAACCAUUUUCUUUUCGAUAAUUAUUCACAUUGCUGUAGAAACGGAAAUUAUCCCUAUUUUCUCACUUUCCAGUGGAAAACUGUAGUUGCAGCUGCUCCCUCCCCCCGCUUGGAACUUUUACACGCUAAGAGUCACCAGCCAGCCUUGCCUUAAAUCAAAUCUUCCCAUGCAGCCUGGAUGCAAAUCUAGCAAGCACAGCAGCUGUCUGCUCUUAGCAAGGGGAAAAGCAACACAUUUCUUCAGCCACUGGCUAGGGAACUCCUGCUCAAAAAAGAGGGCUACGCCUUGUCUGAUGCCUUUAUAAAGUUAUAGGAGACAGUUUCCUGCGGGCUUUCACAGAUACUGCUAAUCAUCUUAAAGUGAAACAGGGCUUCCAAAAACAGCAUGUAAAUCCCCAUAACACACCUUCAAUUUCUGUCUCCAAGGCUACCCAGCUGCCCUGAUCCUCUGUGACAGGCUCGAAAUGCCAUGAUGCUUCCUUUUGAACUGCUCCUUGCCCACUUUUCAAGCCCUCUUUACUCCCAGACCUCCCCACGGGCAGAAGCCCCGCUAGCUCUUGGCUUGCCUCGCUUGCUGGGGACAAGGAUUCACAGCACUGCUGCCCCGUGCUGGGUGAUGAGCAAUGGGACAUCUGUGUAACAGGGGAUACUAGGCUCUCUACUGUCCUGCAGCUGAGUGGAACUGAUUUCCACAGGGGCAUGAGAAGAGCUGGAGCCCCUGAAUGGUCCUGCCCUGCCCAGUUGUGCUCACCCAUCUGCACAAAGGCUGGGUCCAAAAGGCUCUUUAAAACCAUGUUAAUAGCAUUUUUCAUGCUGCUUUUACUGAACCUCCUCAUUCUGCUCUAAGCCAUGCAGUUCACGAAUGGCAGCUAUUCCCCAGUCAGGGAAGCGCAUUUUGGGGGACACGGUGUACGUAGCCUUACUGGACAUUUUUCAGUGAUUUUAUAUGCAGAUACUGCCUUCUCACAGUGAACCAAAUUCUGCCCUCUCCUGAAGUCUCUUGGGUCUAAAUUAGUGAGACUUUAUACAUACCGUGACUUGAAUCUGAAUGUGCUUCCUUGCUUGCAAUCCCCGUGGUCACGGAGUAGGCAAGGAGACUUUGUGCUGUAGUUUACCUUGUCAUAAGCGGGCUUUUUCGGUCAUCCUGGUGAACCAUGUGAUCAGCAGGCACAUUCCCUGUGUCGUCAAUGUGGGAGCACUUUCUGCAGGAUGCAGGAUUUGCAAAGGCACAAAUGGAUGGGGCAGCGUCCCAGCAACAUGCAGAAUUCCCCAGCCAGUGGCUCAUCUCGCAUCUUCUCUGAGAAGAUAGCACCUGAGGUCCCCCCUGAAACAUUCCCCAGGACUCACGGGAGUGCUGGAUGAGCUGAUGAGGCAUUUGUGCUGCAGACACCCCCAGAGCACUGAAGAGUCAAGAGAAUGAUGCCAGACUAGAAUCAAUGAGGCCUUAUGCGGGCACUCAAGAAUAACAAGCCAACCAGUGGAUUUGCAGGCAGCCUGUAACAGCUUGUUAUCUGAUGUCCCCUGGGCACAAACACUGAGACAUCUGCAGUUUUUGACCCGUUUUUUCCCUCUGCUGGCUCAAUAGCUAGUUAGCCAGUCAUCCAAAGUGGAAAGAAAACAGAGGGAAGAAGAGAACGCAUGCCAGUAAGCAGGAGAAGCUGGAAUAUUGGGAUGCCAAAAGGACUGGAAAUAAAAUAAGAACACAGAUUUCUUUGCUCUCCAUUAUUGUUUGUGCAUCAAGCUCUCUGAGUUUGUUUCUGGAACUCUGUUGAAAGCUUGCCAGUUGUCACUGAACUUUUAUGUUGGUUUAUUUUGCAUGUAUUUUGCAUCUCCAAUUUCUUUGUUUGGCACUGCAAGAUAAAAAUGAACCUGAACAACACACAAUGGGACUUCAUUGAUUGCCUCUGGUCCCUAUAAUCUCUUCCCAUCCCAUGAGAGGCCAGGAGGAGCCCCAGAGGAGGCUGCUGGGUCCUUUGAAAAGAGAUCCUUGGAGCACAGCAACCAUGCCAGCUAACACUGUGCUUCCCUGCUUCCAGGCUCUUGUUACUAAAGGGUGUGCCCAGGCGCUCUGAAGGGGUCAUGAACACCAGCCCCAGCCUAAUCUUCUAAUUAACUCCUGUUAAUGUAAGCGCACUCGAGAAGAUUCUUUUAGCCAUGCUGCUCAAGAAAUUAGAAGUCCUCUCUCAAAGAGAUAGAGUGUUUCUUCGUUUGUAGUUCAGCACGACAACACCAUUUUGCUGCAUGGGAAGUAUUUGCCUCAGCCUGUGGUGCUCAUUUCUCAUCCUUGGAUUACAGUUUAUUGUAAAUCAACUCAGGAUAAUAGGUGGCGGCUCAGUGUAUGUUAUCUGCAGCAUUUUAGCCUUGCAUAGGCAGAGGCCUCCUGGCUUAUUGGUUCUCUAAUUUCCACGCCUUGGAAAAGCCUAAAGAUUGGGGUGUGUGCCUUGCAAUGAUACGUAGGGCUCUGGGACCUACCAGAGAAACAUGCUGCUGCUGCUGCUGCUGCUGCUUCUCUUUUAACCUGAUGCAGCCUCAUCGCAUGGAUGCUCCGCUCAUUGCAGUCAAGGUUAGAAAGGGAUUUGAGCCUCUUUCUGAUGUGGAAAGAAAGUAGUCCCACAGGUAGAAGCACAAAGAACAGCUGAGCUCAGACCAACCUCAGGAAAAAAAAAAAAACAAAGCAAAUUUCCACAAUGGAGUGUAGCUGGACUGCAUCGAGAGAGCGAAUGUGGAGCAGGAUGAGAAUUGUACCUGCCUGUGUUAUAAGCAGAGACUCUGCAGCUCUCCCGACAUCAAUUUUGCCUAGGAGAAUCCAUCCGAAAACAAACAAAUACCAACAGAAAUGCUCCUAUUGUUUUCUUUCUCUGUUGGUAAUGAAAACUAUUCCUUUAAAAAAAAGAGCAAUAUCCUCCCCUAUGAUUUUUGCAGUCACAACACAGAAACGGAGAAAACCUGAAAGCACAAUUGACUCCUUUUGAUUUUUCCUAUUUCAAGAGAGGAGACAUGCCAGCGGGAAAGAGAACAAAAAUCAUGCUGAGUAAAUCUGGAAUUUAAACCGCCACCGAUGAUCAACAGCGACCAUCCAAAUAUUUAUUUCUUCUUCUACAGUUUCUUUCCGUUUAAGCCGAUGAGCAGAUCUUUAAUUUGAUGUUCAGUCAUCCUUACUUAAAGGCAUGUAUCUUUUAGGUCGUUUCUUUAAUUAUUCACUUCUGCAGGAAUUCAGACGGCAAGAUUUGGGGGAUAAUGUAGUCACGUACCGCCUUAGCAUGCUGCUUCUCUUCAAUAAUUUGUCUAUUAGUGACCUCCAUUUGGUACUAGAGAUCAAGUCCUCCUUGCACUGGCCUUGACAAGAAAAUGUCCAACGGAUUGAGCAAGGUGUUGGCUUUAUCCCUACUGCACGUGCCAUGGCAGAGCUGCCACAACAUCUAAUGCCAGAUCUCUAUUACCUAGACAGUGCUUUGAAAUACGGCUCUGUGUAUGGGAUACAGUCCCAGUUUCAAGCAAGAAGCAAGGGAGGGACUCCAGCUCUGCUGCUGGAAGCAUACAAGCGAGGCAUGAAGCAGGGAGAUGUCCUCCUGACUGCCUAGCAGGCUGGAUAAGUUUCUGUGUGUAGUUUGCUCGUGUAGCAUCGGCGAUGUGUGCAAUCUGCAGCCACUCGCAGGUCUCCGCAACCUGCCUGCUUCCCAGUUAUCGUGGCUGCAGACCACCAUAAGCAUUUCUGCAGGCAAGCUUCUAAGGUCAUGCUGCUAAACCUCCAUAUAUGCGCUGAAAUAUCAUGAUACAUGGGUUUGGUUUUUUUUUCUCUCCUUGCGUGUUUAGUGCUUUAAAAUUCCAUCCAGUUCAACAAGAGCUCAGCAUGUAAUAUAAAGCAGCUGUUUAUGGGUGCUUAAGUACAGAGUUAAGAACCAAACUUCAGGCAGCCAGAUUUGAAAAGCGUAGUCAGUCCUUAAAUGAUGUGCUCUGCUGAAAGGGGUCUACUCUAAAAAUGCUCAUGAAGUGUGAGGGUUUAUGAUGGAAAGGAACCUGUAGCAAGCAGCGUGUUUGCUUCCCACUUUUCCUAGGUUUCAUUAUGCCUUCCUGCCUCACAGAACAGCUGUAACAUUAAACCCAUUGAAAUCUGUAAAGUGCUCAGAGAUCUACUGAAGGGAGGCAGGACAGAAGUAAAAGGUACUCAAUUUUCAUCGCGUUUUAUCAGGCAAGAGAGUUUCCCGAAUGUCUUCGUAACAAAUAAGAAUAAAUAGCUGCACAUGUAAAAUGUAUCCUGCGCUCACUAAUAGGUAUCUUCCGGGCAGUGGUUGAGGAGAAUCUCUAUUUAAGAACAGCGUAGAUCUGAAGACUUGAAUUCAUUUUUCAAUACCUUUCUUAGGGCCAUAGCCUUAUGCACUUCACUAGUGCAUGAAUACUAUCCAAAUCUACUGGCAUUCGAGUAAUAGUGGCAAAUAGUUUGAUUGUUUUCUCCUGUCAAAUUUCUACUAGAUUUUCAAAUAAAUCACUCACAAACGUUGUUGUUUUUUUUUUUUUCCUCAUGACUUGGUUACCUCAAUAGCCAGCUGAAUAAUAUUCAUCAAAUAAAUUACUUAUUUUUUUUCCCAUCAAUCUGCAAAUAAUUAAUUCACAGGUACUUUUUACAUGAAGCAGUCAGCUCUAGCCAGGGCAAAUCAAGGUAAUUUCCUGCUCUUUUGAUCAAAUGCCAGCAGGACUUUAUCUUGGACAGCUCAAUAGACACAGGUUUUAAUGCAUAAUACAUAAUGGGUAAGCUGAGUUUUUCACAGUUCUUUGAGAGCUCUCUGCUAUUGCCCAUAUUUCUGUUCAGCUACCGAGAGAGGCCUGACAAGGG